AUCCACUGCAGGCCCCACUCACCAUGUUAGCAUGGAGAUUUAGGUUACCUAAGAAUAUUUCCCUGAAGUCAAUACUGUUCUGUCAUAGAGAGUUUGUAGUAGAUGAAGCUUGCUACAACAGCUUUGUGUACAUUCUCAUUUCCCAACAGGCAACAGGAUUAAUAGCUACAAUGGAGAUAGAAAACAAGUAUGUGUUUGCCUGGAUGCACAUUUGAAGUAAUGAUUUUCAUUUUUGCACAAACAGGAAAAUGGAACAAACAUGAUCACCACAUCUGCAAUGUGAGGUGUCAGUACUAUUGUAACUCAGAGAUAAUGUCCUGCAGUAUGCUGAGUGUGCUCUUAGAGAAGAAAAAAGCCUUCAGAGAAACAAGCCUACAUUUGCUGCUAUAUCAGGCAAACCACCAGGAUGGAUCCCAGCAACAAGAAAAAGAAAACCUCAAGGGUUGACCGUUCAAAUAUGCUAAUGGAAUGUUGAUUGUCUUCACACUGCAUGGGGGUUAAAAUCAAAAUCAAUGGAACCACCACCCUCCCCUGUAGGUAACUUUUACUUUUCAAUCAGCUGCUCCAUUUCUCACACAAUGAAUUGAUUAAUACCUUUUGUUAUUUUAGUCUUAGAUAGUAAGAAACCUAUCUUACACACCAAAUCUAAAGUCAAUGGUUUUAUGUACAGAAUUAUUGUUUCUUUGGAAACAGAUGGAGACUCCAAAUUUACUUCAUAGUAAAGCUGUCUUUAAAUGAAUGUAGAAGGCUGUUUUCAUUUAUGCAGAAGGAUGUUUUAAUCUAACAUGAUCUUUCCUCUUUGCAUUUCAAAAAAUAAAAUGAACCACCAGAGAGAUUUGCCA
rnacentral:lncRNA from 1 species